GUCUGGACAGCUCAGUUGGAUAGAGCGUGGUGCUGAUAAUGUGGAGGUUGCAGGUUCAAUCCCCAUCUGGGACA